AGAGUUUGAUCAUGGCUCAGGACGAACGCUGGCGGCGUGCCUAACACAUGCAAGUCGAACGGACGAGGCCCCUUCGGGGACCGAGUUAGUGGCGGACGGGUGAGUAACGCGUGAGCAACCUGCCUUUCAGAGGGGGACAACAGUUGGAAACGACUGCUAAUACCGCAUGAUGCAGCGAGAUCGCAUGGUCUUGCUGUCAAAGAUUUAUCGCUGAAAGAUGGGCUCGCGUCUGAUUAGCUAGUUGGAGGGGUAACGGCCCACCAAGGCGACGAUCAGUAGCCGGACUGAGAGGUUGAACGGCCACAUUGGGACUGAGAUACGGCCCAGACUCCUACGGGAGGCAGCAGUGGGGAAUAUUGGGCAAUGGGGGAAACCCUGACCCAGCAACGCCGCGUGAAGGAAGAAGGCUUUCGGGUUGUAAACUUCUUUUACCAGGGACGAAGAACGUGACGGUACCUGGAGAAAAGCCACGGCUAACUACGUGCCAGCAGCCGCGGUAAUACGUAGGUGGCAAGCGUUGUCCGGAUUUACUGGGUGUAAAGGGCGUGUAGGCGGAGCUGCAAGUCAGAUGUGAAAUCUGGGGGCUUAACCCUCAAACUGCAUUUGAAACUGUAGCCCUUGAGUAUCGGAGAGGCAGGCGGAAUUCCUAGUGUAGCGGUGAAAUGCGUAGAUAUUAGGAAGAACACCAGUGGCGAAGGCGGCCUGCUGGACGACAACUGACGCUGAGGCGCGAAAGCGUGGGGAGCAAACAGGAUUAGAUACCCUGGUAGUCCACGCUGUAAACGAUGAAUACUAGGUGUGGGGGGACUGACCCCCUCCGUGCCGGAGUUAACACAAUAAGUAUUCCACCUGGGGAGUACGACCGCAAGGUUGAAACUCAAAGGAAUUGACGGGGGCCCGCACAAGCAGUGGAUUAUGUGGUUUAAUUCGACGCAACGCGAAGAACCUUACCGGGAUUUGACAUCCUACUAACGAAGCAGAGAUGCAUUAGGUGCCCUUCGGGGAAAGUAGAGACAGGUGGUGCAUGGUUGUCGUCAGCUCGUGUCGUGAGAUGUUGGGUUAAGUCCCGCAACGAGCGCAACCCCUAUUGUUAGUUGCUACGCAAGAGCACUCUAGCGAGACUGCCGUUGACAAAACGGAGGAAGGCGGGGACGACGUCAAAUCAUCAUGCCCCUUAUGUCCCGGGCUACACACGUAAUACAAUGGCGGUCAACAAAGGGAAGCAAAGCCGCGAGGCAGAGCAAACCCCCAAAAGCCGUCUCAGUUCGGAUUGCAGGCUGCAACUCGCCUGCAUGAAGCUGGAAUUGCUAGUAAUCGUGGAUCAGAAUGCCACGGUGAAUACGUUCCCGGGCCUUGUACACACCGCCCGUCACACCAUGAGAGUCGGGAACACCCGAAGUCCGUAGUCUAACCCGCAAGGGAGGGCGCGGCCGAAGGUGGGUCUGAUAAUUGGGGUGAAGUCGUAACAAGGUA
rnacentral:rRNA from 1 species